rnacentral:rRNA from 1 species
CCUACGGGAGGCAGCAGUGGGGAAUAUUGCACAAUGGGGGAAACCCUGAUGCAGCAACGCCGCGUGAGUGAUGACGGCCUUCGGGUUGUAAAGCUCUGUCUUUAGGGAAGAAAAUGACGGUACCUGAGGCGGAAGGCACGGCCAACGACGUGCCAGCAGCCGCGGUAAUACGUAGGUGGCGAGCGUUGUCCGGAUUUACUGGGCGUAAAGGGAGCGUAGGCGGACUUUUAAGUGAGAUGUGAAAUCCUCCGGCUCAACUUGAGUGCUGCAUUUCAAACUGUAAGUCUAGAGUGCAGGAGAGGAAAUUGGAAUUCCUAGUGUAGCGGUGAAAUGCGUAGAGAUUAGGAAGAACACCAGUGGCGAAGGCGAUUCUCUGGACUGUAACUGACGCUGAGGCUCGAAAGCGUGGGGAGCAAACAGGAUUAGAUACCCUUGUAGUC